CGGAAGUGGAAGGUACUGGAGCUGUUGUUUCUCUGCAUGUGGUGAAGGAGUAUUUUGUGGAUCCAAAGUAGACAGGGCAUAAGCAGAAAAUGCAGGUGACCCCAGCAGCCGCUGAGCCGGCCUGGAUUCGGGCAAAGAAAGCAGCGUCCUCCUGGUGCAAACAGACACAGCCACAAGUGCAAGACACGCAGUCUAGAAAGUCCGGAAGACAGGUCUCACUCUGUCGCCCAGACUGGAGUGCAGUGGUGCGAUUUCGGCUCACCGCAACCUCCGCCUCCUGGGAUCAAGCGAUUCUCCUGCCUCGGCCUCUCAAGUAUCUGGGAUUACAGGCACAUGCCACUAACACCUGGGUAUUUUUUGUAUUUUUAGUAGAGAUGGGGUUUCGCCAUGUUGGCCAGGCUGGUCUUGAACUCCUGACCUCAAAAGAUCCACCCGUCUCGGCCUCCCAAAGUGCUGGGAUUACAGGUGUGAGCCACUGCUCCCAGCCUGUUUUUGCAUAUUCUUCAACUUACACAUUGCAUGUGCUGUUCCAAAACAAGAUGAAGGCCUUGGUUCUGCUUAUUUCCCCGAGUUGUUUCCUUUAGUUCAUUAAUUAAUUAAUAUCUAAACGGACAAAUAAGUAUUGUAGAUACUUGUGGUGUACAACAUGAGUUUUGAAAUCUGUAUACAUUGGGGAAUGGCUACAUCCAGCUAAUUAACAUAUGAAUUAGCUCACUGUUUUGUGAUGAGAACACAUCACAAAAGCAAGUAGAUACUCGCUUGGCAAUUUUCAAGUAUAUAAUACAUUGUUAUUUACUGUAGUCUCCAUGUUGUACAACCCAGCUCUUGAACUCGUGCCUCCUGUCUAACUGAAACUUUGUAUCUUUUGACCUACAUCUCCCAAGCCCCCAGGCCCUGGGAGCCACCAUUCUAUCUCUGCGGCUAUAAGUUUAACCCUUUCAGCUCGCCCAUGUGAGAUCAUGUGGUGCCUGUCUACGUGUGCCUGGUUUGCUUCGCUCAGCACAAUGUCUUCAAGGUUCAUCCAUGUUGUCACAGAUGAUGGGAGGAAAGUACCCAUCGUGACUUUGAUCUUGGUCCUUCCUGGCAUUUCUUUAUAUUUUUACUAUAUAUGUAUAUAAAAAUACUACUUUUACCCCAAAACUAUCCUUUGAAAGGCUAGGAACUGAGACAGGAAUCUGGGUCGACCUGUGGGUGAGAGGAGCCAUCGAGUUGGGUGAAAUGGUUCCUGCCGCCCCCCAGCUCUGUCCCUCACCUCAUGCGUGCCCCCUGCACUGUUGCAGUCAUCAGCUUAAUAGUCUAGCAGGCACUGCUUUCUUGGGUGCUACUGCAUGUGGUGAAGGAGCAUUUUGUGGAUCUAAAGUAGACAGGGCAUAAGCAGAAAAUGCAGGUGGCCCCAGCAGCCACUGAACCGGCCUGGAUUCGGGUGAAGAAAGCAGCGCUCUCCUGGUGUAAACAGACACAGCCUCAAGUGCAAGGCACGCAGCUUGGAAAGUCAGGAAGGCAAAACAAGAUAUUUUUAAAAAUAUAUCUUGGGAGGGAUAUUUAAGACACAAUUAUGGGCCGGGAGGGGUGGCUCAUGCCUGUAAUCCCAGCACUUUGGGAGGCCGAGGCAGGCGGACCACCUGAGAUGCUGUACUUCGGAUUCUAGAAUUAGGAGAAUUUGACCAGCUUAAUAAGUGUCCAAAUAAGUGAUUUCUACUCCCACUUCCUUGACAUGCAAUUGCCGAAUAAACAAACCCACAAAGGCAAGGCAGCAAUGUGUAUUCUGAAACCAGGUUUUUAAGGCCUGAUUUGGAGUUGUCUUCCUAUUGAACCCCAGCUCUUGGGUUCAAAGUCGAUGAUCAUUUGUACGAAUGCCAUGGUAUAUUUAAGUGAGUGGUUACAGCUGUUUCAGUUUCUUCCUCGCCAGUGUUUGGGGAUCAGUGAGUGGGCCAAGCCAGGACUCACCCCCUGCAAGUUCACAGAGGCCUCAAACUCUGACAAGAAGAAGUUUCCAUCUUAAAGACUGACAGGUAUACCUAGAGAUUGAAAAUUAACAUCCAGAAUAUUGCUUUCCCAAACAUUAUAUGUUUAUUUAAGACUCUGAAUGCUAUGUUGGCUCUAGCCUUGAAUCUCUGCACAUUUCAAGGGAGUCUGUACUUCGUGAUUACUAAAACAUAUGGAAAUUAUACAAAUCCAACAUGAAAGGCAUUCUUUUUCUUUUUAAAGGGACUGCUUCUAUAUUCCACAUUUCAAAAACCUCACCUAGGUUAGAAAUGUAGGUAUGUCCUUCACUGAUGAGGUUUGGAAACAUUUUGAAAUCUCAUUUUUAAACAAUAAAGAAAUAUUUUUAUGACACUUUAAAAAUUUUUACUUCUAAUUGUUCGUUAUGUCACUAAUGUGUCAUUCGUUUGGCUAUAGUAGUUGGAUUUU